rnacentral:rRNA from 1 species
AUUGAACGCUGGCGGUAUGCUUUACACAUGCAAGUCGAACGGCAGCACGGACUUCGGUCUGGUGGCGAGUGGCGAACGGGUGAGUAAUGUAUCGGAACGUGCCCAGCCGUGGGGGAUAACGUAGUGAAAAUUACGCUAAUACCGCAUACGAUCUAUGGAUGAAAGCGGGGGAUCGCAAGGCCUCGCGCGAUUGGAGCGGCCGAUAUCAGAUUAGGUAGUUGGUGGGGUAAAGGCCCACCAAGCCAACGAUCCGUAGCUGGUCUGAGAGGACGACGAGCCACACUGGAACUGAGACACGGUCCAGACUCCUACGGGAGGCAGCAGUGGGGAAUUUUGGACAAUGGGCGAAAGCCUGAUCCAGCCAUUCCGCGUGCAGGAUGAAGGCCCUCGGGUUGUAAACUGCUUUUGUACAGAACGAAAAGGUUUCUACUAAUACUAGGAGCUCAUGACGGUACUGUAAGAAUAAGCACCGGCUAACUACGUGCCAGCCGCCGCCGUAA